AUUGAUGAAAGGAACAUACCUAUCGUCGGUCUAUUUAGAAGAGUUCUACACGUUUUUACAUUUGAAUUAAAAACACAUAGCAAGCAAAGAGCACAGGGUUUGGAAGAUGGCGGACGACGUAGACCAGCAACAAACUACCAACACUGUAGGAGAGCCUCUGGAUCUCUUCAGGCUCAGUCUGGAUGAACGAAUCUAUGUGAAAAUGAGAAACGACAGAGAGCUUCGAGGCAGGUUACAUGCUUAUGAUCAGCAUUUAAAUAUGAUAUUGGGAGAUGUGGAAGAAACUGUGACAACUAUAGAAAUUGAUGAAGAAACAUAUGAAGAGAUAUAUAAAUCAACCAAACGGAAUAUCCCGAUGCUCUUUGUCCGGGGAGACGGUGUUGUGCUAGUUGCCCCACCAUUGAGAGUUGGUUGAAACAAAGAAUUUAUCCUGUGUGGAAAAUAGGAGAUUUUGUAUGAUUGCCUCUUUAAAUGUAGAAGAUAUUCAAAAGAGAAACCGGCGUAUGUUUUGAUUUUAAGAAAUAACCAAGAAUUCUUCAACUUCUGAAAUAAGUUGAUUUGUAGAUAACUCACAAAUUCUUAAGCUAAAUGGCAUUUUUAUUUUCCUCCAACCCUUCCAAUAAAUGUGAUCACCAAGAUGCAUAAAAAAAACCCAAAAGAAAACACAUAGCAAGCAAGCUGCAAAAUAGCUCACAUUAUAUGAUCCCUUUUAAAAAUGACAUAUAAAUAUUUAAGGAUAGGAAAAAGUCUGGACAGAUGAACUUGUAACUAUUAAAAGUGGGUUCCCCCUGGGGACCUCCCUGGUGGCAC